rnacentral:rRNA from 1 species
GAUGAACGCUGGCGGCGUGCCUAAUACAUGCAAGUCGAGCGAACAGACGAGAAGCUUGCUCCUCUGAUGUUAGCGGCGGACGGGUGAGUAACACGUGGAUAACCUACCUAUAAGACUGGGAUAACUUCGGGAAACCGGAGCUAAUACCGGAUAAUAUUUUGAACCGCAUGGUUCAAUAGUGAAAGACGGUUUUGCUGUCACUUAUAGAUGGAUCCGCGCCGCAUUAGCUAGUUGGUAAGGUAACGGCUUACCAAGGCAACGAUGCAUAGCCGACCUGAGAGGGUGAUCGGCCACACUGGAACUGAGACACGGUCCAGACUCCUACGGGAGGCAGCAGUAGGGAAUCUUCCGCAAUGGGCGAAAGCUUGACGGAGCAACGCCGCGUGAGUGAUGAAGGUCUUCGGAUCGUAAAACUCUGUUAUUAGGGAAGAACAAAUGUGUAAGUAACUAUGCACGUCUUGACGGUACCUAAUCAGAAAGCCACGGCUAACUACGUG